UCGAAGAUAGAAAGAUAAAAAAAAAAACAAGUAAAUUAUUACACUGGCAGCACAAGUGGUUAACAGAGGAGGCAACAAACAGCGGAAAGGAACACUAUUAAAUGCUCUGACCCAUGUGAUCCACUGACUGUGUGAAGUGUACGUGCCCCCUCCUGGCUCUGUCACGUGCCAGGCCGAUGACUUCGGAGAAGCCUGCUGGAAAGAUAAACAGCACGAGGGAGGAACUGCUUUGGAUACAAACUCACACCUUGACGUUACGAGAGCUACAGAUGGGGGUGUAGCCGGAGCCGUAAUGGAGUUAUGACCCUGAGAGCAUCCCGGACAAGGACGAGGACCCUGAGCUUUUCAAACCUGCUCUUCCUUCUCCACUUCUACAAAAGGCCCCUUUUUGCACAACAGACUUUUUGACUCGUCACGGUAGGAAAAGCACAGGUGUUAUUUAUAACAUUAAGCCGUGACAGUGUGACAGUGAGCCAGCACGCACAAUACCGCGACCCCUGAACCCGAAGCAGCUCCGAGGAAUUCAUUCAUUGUCAAUUUUUAUGAUUUACACCUGCAAUUUUUCCUACUGUGACAUAUCAAAAGGUAUUCUGUGAAAAAAGGUCUGUUGACAUUGGUGCUAACCUCUAAGGUCACCUCAGGCUGCUUGGACAUGAUCCUAACACAAGAGACUAGAUUUCUUUUUGAGGUUUCAGCCGCAUCUCACAGUCUUCUGCUUUGCUCUGAGGGCCAAAAACCUCACCUUGUGUUCAGAUUUUUUACUAUUUACUGUUUCCAACAUCAGUAAUUUAUUAAAAAAACAGAAAAGCUGUCACCUUUUCCCCCAAAAAUCCUGACAUCUCUUUGUCAUUCAGCCUCUCUGUUGCUGCUUUUAUCUGACUUUUUAAACAGUUUUGAAUGAAUGCAAUAAAAUAAGUUCAAACUGUGGAA